rnacentral:rRNA from 1 species
UCUGUCUUAAUUAAAGAUAUUGAAUUUAACUUUUAAGUGAAAAGGCUUAGAUGAUCUGAAGGGACGAUAAGACCCUAUAAAACUUUAUAUUUAAGAGUAGAAAUUAAUUUUAUUUAAAGGUUAUUAUUUUAUAAUAUUUGGUUGGGGCGACGGGGAUAGAAGAAAAAGUAACUGUCUUUUUUUUUUACAAUAAUAUUUGGUUUAAUGAUCCUAAAAUGGAUUAAAGAUUAAGUUACUUUAGGGAUAACAGCGUAAUUUUCUUUAAGAGUUCUUAUCGACAGGAAAGUUUGCGACCUCGAUGUUGAAUUAAAGGUUCUUUAUAGAGUAGAAACUAUAAUAGAAGGUCUGUUCGACC